rnacentral:snRNA from 1 species
GUGUUUGCUUCAGUAGCACAUGUACUAAAAUUAGAAAGAUAGAUUAGCCAGGCCACUGCAUGAGGAUGACACCCAAAUUCGUGUAAGAUUUCAAAAAUAA